CACGCCGUAAACGAUGAGUGCCAGGUGUCGGGGAACUUAGUUCUUCGGCGCCGCAGCUAACGCCUUAAGCACUCCGCCUGGGGAGUACGGCCGCAAGGUUAAAACUCAAAGGAAUUGACGGGGGCCCGCACAAGCGGUGGAGCAUGUGGUUUAAUUCGACGCAACGCGCAGAACCUUACCAGGCCUUGACAUCCCAUGACCGCCGGAGAGAUCCGGUUUUCCCUUCGGGGACGUGGAGACAGGUGC
rnacentral:rRNA from 1 species